UUAGGAAUAUAGAGAGGAGAGUUACAGUAUCUACUAGGAAUAUAGAGAGGAGAGUUACAGUAUCUACUAGGAAUAUAGAGAGGAGAGUUACAGUAUCUACUAGGAAUAUAGAGAGGAGAGUUACAGUAUCUACUAGGAAUAUAGAGAGGAGAGUUACAGUAUCUACUAGGAAUAUAGAGAGGAGAGUUACAGUAUCUACUAGGAAUAUAGAGAGGAGAGGUACAGUAUCUACUAGGAAUAUAGAGAGGAGAGUUACAGUAUCUACUAGGAAUAUAGAGAGGAGAGGUACAGUAUCUACUAGGAAUAUAGAGAGGAGAGGUACAGUAUCUACUAGGAAUAUAGAGAGGAGAGUUACAGUAUCUACUAGGAAUAUAGAGAGGAGAGGAGAGUUAUAGUAUCUACUAGGAAUAUAGAGAGGAGAGUUACAGUAUCUACUAGGAAUAUAGAGAGGAGAGUUACAGUAUCUACUAGGAAUAUAGAGAGGAGAGUUACAGUAUCUACUAGGAAUAUAGAGAGGAGAGUUACAGUAUCUACUAGGAAUAUAGAGAGGAGAGGUACAGUAUCUACUAGGAAUAUAGAGAGGAGAGGUACAGUAUCUACUAGGAAUAUAGAGAGGAGAGUUACAGUAUCUACUAGGAAUAUAGAGAGGAGAGUUACAGUAUCUACUAGGAAUAUAGAGAGGAGAGGUACAGUAUCUACUAGGAAUAUAGAGA